GAUGAACGCUAGCUACAGGCUUAACACAUGCAAGUCGAGGGGCAGCAUGAACUUAGCUUGCUAAGUUUGAUGGCGACCGGCGCACGGGUGAGUAACACGUAUCCAACCUUCCGUUUACUCAGGGAUAGCCUUUCGAAAGAAAGAUUAAUACCUGAUAGUAUGGUGAGAUUGCAUGAUAACACCAUUAAAGAUUUAUUGGUAAACGAUGGGGAUGCGUUCCAUUAGGUAGUAGGCGGGGUAACGGCCCACCUAGCCUGCGAUGGAUAGGGGUUCUGAGAGGAAGGUCCCCCCANAUUGGAACUGAGACACGGUCCAAACUCCUACGGGAGGCAGCAGUGAGGAAUAUUGGUCAAUGGGGCAGAGCCUGAACCAGCCAAGUAGCGUGAAGG
rnacentral:rRNA from 1 species